rnacentral:rRNA from 1 species
AGAGGGUGCAAACGUUGCUCGGAUUUACUGGGCGUAAAGCGCGUGUAGGCGGACUCGCAAGUCGGUUGUGAAAUCCCUGGGGCUCAACCUAGGAACUGCAUCCGAAACUGCUUGUCUUGAGUAAUGGAGAGGGUGGCGGAAUUCCCGGUGUAGAGGUGAAAUUCGUAGAUAUCGGGAGGAACAUCAGUGGCGAAGGCGGCCACCUGGACAUUUACUGACGCUGAGACGCGAAAGCGUGGGGAGCAAACAGGAUUAGAUACCCUGGUAGUCCACGCCGUAAACGAUGAGAACUAGGUGCAGCGGAUAUUGACCUCUGCUGUGCCGUAGCUAACGCGUUAAGUUCUCCGCCUGGGGAGUACGGCCGCAAGGCUA